UCUGUAGGUGGUUUAAUAAGUCAACUGUUAAAUCUUGAGGCUCAACCUCAAAAUCGCAGUCGAAACUAUUAGACUAGAGUAUAGUAGGGGUAAAGGGAAUUUCCAGUGGAGCGGUGAAAUGCGUAGAUAUUGGAAGGAACACCGAUGGCGAAGGCACUUUACUGGGCUAUUACUAACACUCAGAGACGAAAGCUAGGGUAGCAAAUGG
rnacentral:rRNA from 1 species